UGGAAAAGAUACUUGCCAGCAUUGAAAUUCGCCAGAGAACAAGGUCUUUUUGUAACCCUUCAUUGUGGAGAGGUGCGCCAAUCUUUUAUUGUACCUGUUACCUGUGGUGAUUACCUGACUGGUCUGUUUUGCUUGUUUCGUGCUUUUAGGUUCCUAAUUCAAAGGAGAUACAAGACAUGCUCGAUUUUGUUCCCCAUAAUCGGACAUGCUUGUUUCUUUGAGGAGGAACACUGGAGAAAGUUGAAGUCUACUAACAUUUCCGGUUGAAAUUUAUUUGCUUGCUCACGUCCAUUGCUGCAACACAGGCAAGCAGCUUUGAAUAGCGUGAAAGGCUCACUUGGAGAUUAACUAGCAUUUAGAUCCGUCGUGAUUCCCCCUCCAUUCUAUGAAAUUUAAUGAAUUAAUAACAAAAGACUGAAAAUAUUGGCAAAACAUAGGCCAAAUAUCUAUUAAUAUAUAAUAAGAAUAUAGUUGUGGUAUUUGCUCGACAAGUGGAGUGUUCUGUGUUUGCCACGUGGAGCUGUGUAUGAUUGACAAGUGACUUUCAAGAAGAGAAUAUGAGAGAGAGAGAGUUGCCAGUUCUGAUAGGGGGAGUAGUUGGCACCAGACUUCCUCUUUCAAUGUCGCAGAGAAGAGAAGAAGAAAAGGUCGGUAAAGAAAUAAAGCACGACGGAAGAAGUGGUGGGUGGCGAUGACAACGACGGUCACAGAGAAGGAUGCUAGAUCGACAGAGAAAAGAAGAGGAAUGAGGCGGCGACGGCGGUGAUGGAGGUUACCGACGCUGUUGGAUCCAUAGAACUGCAUCUACCGCAGAAUGCCGUCGCAGCCGUUCCUUUGCCAGUGGAUGCUGCGAAUGAAGGAUGGUUAGUUCUCUCUUUAUUUUGUUGUUUGAUUUUAUUAUAACCAGAGAAGAAUCCUUUAUAAUCCAUUCUUCGGUGAACGACAGCUUCAAGUUCUAAAAUUUUGGUUAAUCUGCAUUAAAAUAUAUAUUUUUUUGCUUUCAAAUGAUUGCAUGUACAUUUUUGUUAAUC